AGCGAACGCUGGCGGCAGGCCUAACACAUGCAAGUCGAACGAACUCUUCGGAGUUAGUGGCGGACGGGUGAGUAACCCGUGGGAACGUGCCUUUAGGUUCGGAAUAACUCAGGGAAACUUGUGCUAAUACCGACUGUGCCCUUCGGGGGAAAGAUUUAUCGCCUUUAGAGCGGCCCGCGUCGGAUUAGCUAGUUGGUGAGGUAAAGGCUCACCAAGGCGACGAUCAGUAGCUGGUCUGAGAGGAUGAUCAGCCACAUUGGGACUGAGACACGGCCCAAACUCCUACGGGAGGCAGCAGUGGGGAAUCUUGCGCAAUGGGCGAAAGCCUGACGCAGCCAUGCCGCGUGAAUGAUGAAGGUCUUAGGAUUGUAAAAUUCUUUCACCGGGGACGAUAAUGACGGUACCCGGAGAAGAAGCCCCGGCUAACUUCGUG
rnacentral:rRNA from 1 species